rnacentral:rRNA from 1 species
UGAGGAACAUGACCUUCGGCGGGGGAUAGCCGGCCCAACGGCCGGGUAGUACCGCGUACGACCACAUGGGGACAUCCCCGAGUGGUGAAAGCAGCAAUGCGCCGAUGGAGUGCCUCGCGGCCUAUCAGCUAGUUGGUGAGGUAACGGCUCACCAAGGCGACGACGGGUAGCUGGUCUGAGAGGAUGGCCAGCCACAUUGGGACUGAGACACGGCCCAGACUCCGUAGGGAGG